AACCUCUAAAGUAAAUCAACAAGAAGCCAUAAUUAAAGAAGGCAUCACACUGACCUCUCUGCACAUUAAACACCAGAAGACAGUGGAGUAAUGUUACAGAACUUAGGGUUCUCCUUGCUACUGCAGAGGAAGGAAUGGUGUAAAGCACUGAAAAGAUUAAAGGGCCAAAUUCAUCAGAACUCUCCAAAUCCUCUCAAUAUAGCAGUGGCUAAUUUUGGGAAGGUUCUUUAAUGAAAUGCUUUUACACGGCACAGCUUAUUACAGGAAACCUCUCUACAAAGCCAUGAAUGUGUGCCUUACCUUGUGAUUCAGGAAUUGCUAAGUAACUACAUAAAAAGAUGUGUAUAAGGAUGUUGAUCAUGGAGUUGCUUAACUUCGUGUCAAAUAGUGCUUCCAUUUUUAUUUUUAAAAAAAUUUAAGGAUCUUAGGACAGAAAAGAAGAGGAAGAGCAAAAAUUAAAAUGUUGCUGAUGAUUGUCUCUGAGUAGGAAAAUCAUGCGAUAAGAGCUCUUUGUAAUUCUCUAACUUUUCUGCACUGUAACUGAAUUACACUUGUAAUGACAAAGGAAAAACAAAUCCUCACAAUGAGAAGGAUUACAACAACUUGUGUUCCUCACAACAAGGAAGGCUUACAUUCAAUUUUUGGUUUUGCUUUUUUGUUUUUAAGAUAUCUGACCAUAUCUUAUUCAUUCUCCAAAACCACUUAUGAAUCCUAAAAACAUAAGCAAAAUUAUAUGGAUAGGACAUUCACUUUCAAUGAAUUAAUUUAGUAUAUAAAACUGAAUAUAUACAUAAAGUAUGUGUUAUCUCUACACACUGUACACUACAGUGGGACUCUGCAUAAUUACUGCAUGAAGAACAUGUACGUUUCCUUUUUUAAGACUCUUUUAGGGAUUCUGUGGUAGAGCAGAAAGUGACCUCUGUGCUCCCGCAGCACCUCACGUUCAUCACUAUCAUGGUACCUAGCACACUUGCACGAUUUUAAGUUUCUCUCCUGACAAACUCUGACUCCAGAAUUUAUGUUAGCACAGUGCCUGGCACACAGUUGACACUUAGUAAAUACUGGAUGCAUUGAUGGAUGGAUG